GUGGAGCAUGUGGUUUAAUUCGAAGCAACGCGAAGAACCUUACCAGGUCUUGACAUCCUCUGACACUCCUAGAGAUAGGACGUUCCCCUUCGGGGGACAGAGUGACAGGUGGUGCAUGGUUGUCGUCAGCUCGUGUCGUGAGAUGUUGGGUUAAGUCCCGCAACGAGCGCAACCCUUGAUCUUAGUUGCCAGCAUUAAGUUGGGCACUCUAAGGUGACUGCCGGUGACAAACCGGAGGAAGGUGGGGAUGACGUCAAAUCAUCAUGCCCCUUAUGACCUGGGCUACACACGUGCUACAAUGGAUGGUACAAAGGGCAGCAAAACCGCGAGGUCGAGCAAAUCCCAUAAAGCCAUUCUCAGUUCGGAUUGCAGGCUGCAACUCGCCUGCAUGAAGCCGGAAUUGCUAGUAAUCGCGGAUCAGCAUGCCGCGGUGAAUACGUUCCCGGGCCUUGUACACACCGCCCGUCACACCACGAGAGUUUGUAACACCCGAAGUCGGUGAGGUAACCUUUUAGGAGCCAGCCGCCGAAGGUGGGACAGAUGAUUGGGGUGAAGUCGUAACAAGGUAUCCCUACCGGAAGGUGGGGAUGGAUCACCUCCUUUCUAA
rnacentral:rRNA from 1 species